rnacentral:rRNA from 1 species
AUUGAACGCUGGCGGCAUGCCUUACACAUGCAAGUCGAACGGUAACAGGUCUUCGGAUGCUGCCGAGUGGCGAACGGGUGAGUAAUACAUCGGAACGUGCCCGAUCGUGGGGGAUAACGAGGCGAAAGCUUUGCUAAUACCGCAUACGAUCUACGGAUGAAAGCGGGGGAUCUUCGGACCUCGCGCGGACGGAGCGGCCGAUGGCAGAUUAGGUAGUUGGUGGGAUAAAAGCUUACCAAGCCGACGAUCUGUAGCUGGUCUGAGAGGAUGAUCAGCCACACUGGGGCUGAGACACGGCCCAGACUCCUACGGGAGGCAGCAGUGGGGAAUUUUGGACAAUGGGCGAAAGCCUGAUCCAGCCAUGCCGCGUGCAGGAUGAAGGCCUUCGGGUUGUAAACUGCUUUUGUACGGAACGAAAAGCCUCUUUCUAAUAAAGAGGGGUCAUGACGGUACCGUAAGAAUAAGCACCGGCUAACUACGUG